rnacentral:misc_RNA from 1 species
AAGAGCACAUUUUGAAACAGAGACGACAAGAUUUACAAUUCUUGAUGCCCCGGGUCAUAAGAGCUAUGUUCCCAAUAUGAUCAGUGGAGCAUCUCAAGCUGACAUUGGAGUGCUGGUUAUAUCUGCUAGAAAGGGUGAAUUCGAAACUGGAUAUGAAAGAGGUGGGCAGACACGUGAACAUGUUCAAUUGGCAAAGACCCUAGGGGUUACAAAGCUUAUUAUUGUUGUAAAUAAGAUGGAUGAUCCUACUGUCAAUUGGUCUAAAGAAAGGUAUGAUGAGAUUGAGUCAAAAAUGGUUCCAUUCUUGAGAUCAUCUGGGUACAAUGUCAAGAAAGAUGUCCAAUUCCUUCCGAUCUCUGGGCUUUUGGGUUCAAAUUUGAAAACUAGAUUGGAGAAGAGUGUAUGCCCAUGGUGGAGUGGUCACUGCCUUUUUGAAGUCCUUGAUGCAGUCGAAGUUCCACCUCGAGAUCCUAAUGGUCCAUUGAGA